rnacentral:rRNA from 1 species
GAUGAACGCUGGCGGCGUGCCUAAUACAUGCAAGUCGAGCGAACGGACGAGAAGCUUGCUUUUCUGAUGUUAGCGGCGGACGGGUGAGUAACACGUGGAUAACCUACCUAUAAGACUGGGAUAACUUCGGGAAACCGGAGCUAAUACCGGAUAAUAUUUUGAACCGCAUGGUUCAAAAGUGAAAGACGGUCUUGCUGUCACUUAUAGAUGGAUCCGCGCUGCAUUAGCUAGUUGGUAAGGUAACGGCUUACCAAGGCAACGAUGCAUAGCCGACCUGAGAGGGUGAUAGGCCACACGGGAACUGAGACACGGUUCAGACUACUACGGGAGGCAGCAGUAGGGAAUCUUCCGCAAUGGGCGAAAGCAUGACGGAGCAACGCCGCGUGAGUGAUGAAGGUCUUCGGAUCGUAAAACUCUGUUAUUAGGGAAGAACAUAUGUGUAAGUAACUGUGCACAUCUUGACGGUACCUAAUCAGAAAGCCACGGCUAACUACGUG